GGGAAGGGGAAGAGAAUAAAAAGGAAGGAGAAGAGAAGAGCUGCGCUGUCACUGCUACCGCCACCUCAAGAGGCCUUCCCAGGCGCUGGCCCAAGGAGGUCCCACAAAAACCACGACGUCAGGAAGAGAAUGCCUGGUAAUCCAACACACAAAGUGCUUUACCAAGACAGAGCCCAUAAGGCCGAGAGAAACUGUGAGGAACGUGGUGGGAAAAGGCGGGCAGGAAAGCACAAGAAGGGACCUCAAGGAUCAUGAAGCUCCAACCUCCAGACCCCGGCAGGGCCACCAACCUCCACAUUUCAUACCAGCCCAGGCUGCCCAGGGCCCCAUCCAGCCUGGCCUUGAACACCUCCAGGGAUGGACGGGGCAUCCACAGCCUCUCUGGGCAGCUGUUCCAACACCUCACCAUUCUCCUGGUGAUGAGCUACAGCCAGCUCUGUUGGCUGCUGGGUGUGAAGCGGGAGGACCCGAAGCCCGGUCCCUUGCACGCCGAUGUCAUAGGAACGAGAGCUUUCUUUCGGUCUUCCCUCUGGAAAGAGAUCUAAGAGGCGAGUAUAACUGGUGGCUGGAAAGGUCUGUGAAGGACCGUUGUGUUUGGGCGGUCCUUUGUGGAGCCGGGGAUUGGACCUGAUAAUCCCUGUGGAUAUCCCUUCCAGCUCAGGAUAUUGCCUGAUUCUACGAUUGUUGUAGCUGUGUGGAGGAGUACAUAAGCACUGUGUCCCACAGCCUCUGAUUUUUUUUUAUUGUGUCCCCAGGCCCUGCCCCCUCCUUGGGGUCCAGUGGGGGUGGCCCUGGGGGUACAAAACCCAAACCCCAUUGGUGGGAGCCACUCCCUCGGCUGCUGCCGACCCUGGAACCUUUGGAGGAGGCUCAACCGGGGGCUGGGGCCUGGCCCUUAAACGGGCACCAGGACUCCAAGAGCGCCUGGCUCCAUCCCCAGCAACGUUCAGUUUCCCCUGCUCAAAAGCGCUCCCCAGGGACAGUCCCUUUCAACUUCUCCAGGGCUGCAGCCGUAAUAGUGGUGUAAAUUGGCCACGGGGAUGGCGUCCGAUGGAGUUGGUUGUCAGUGCGAUUCUGUGCGCCGCCCCAAGGCCCUGUGGCUUCAGCCAUGGGUCGGACUGCGAGGCGGGGGGGAGGGACUCGUGCAGAUGCAAAUGGCUAUGCUUGUCUGAGCAAUAGUUGUCUGGAUCACCCCAACUGUUACCAGCCCAUUCUUCAGGAGAGACAUUUUUCCAAGCUGAGCUAUGUCAGGCAGAACUGGGAGAUGGCCCUGGUGCCAUUUCCAUACGUGAUCCCAGGUUGUGGUGUUUUCAUUGAAACUCUUGAAGCUCGUUUAGCUGUUGCUCUGUUUCCGGUGAUAACAACAGCUCAGUAGAUUACAUCCGCUGAUCCCAUCUUGUAACGCCUCUAUUUUACGGUUGGGUUUUCCCCUCUCCUGGCAGGAAGAUGCGCUCCAACCUCUUGCUGAUUAUACCGUGAUCUUUCCCGCCCUCCAGCAUCAGUUGAGUGCUCUCCUACCUCUGCCCACUUACACCAGCUAUCAUAAGCCAAUUCCUCAGGGAACGGAGGCUUUGUUUGGAUCUCACGUUUUGGUAGCUACUUGGUGACUGUGCUUGUCAUGCUGCUGCCUCCACCAGUUUGGCAUCGCAGGAGAUGACAAUUGCAUUUCACUUGGUUCUCCUGAGUAGCCAUGUCAGAGUUACUGAUAACUGAACAAGAGCGGUAAUUUUUAGCGCAAAGCCUAACAUUCUAACAGCCCUUAGUCACGUAACGGUGAGGAGCUCAGUAACGCGAUUUAAUGAAAUGGAUGAGAAUUAAACAGAGACCUGAUUACAGAUUCAGGGGUGACAAGAUCCACGCUCAGUAACAGGGUACCUUAGAACAGAUACAGACAGAUUAACAGAAAUAUCAAGUGGAGUAACACAAACCCUUGUGUUACAAAUGCGUCUAGUUAAAAGGCAUAAAUAAGUAGGGAGGUGGAUGUCAGAAUGAGCUGGCCUCUGCUUGAGCUUGGAGCAAAUACUCCCAAGGCCCUGGCAUUCCUCAGCGGGCGAUAACUGAGGCUGACUCGAGUGGGAGGGCUUUGCCCCGGCUUCUGCUGAGCGACAGCCCCGAGAAUUUGGUUGUCCCUGAGAGGUGCCUUGAGCCCGGUUUUGCCAGGUACUUGUACAGAGCAGCUCCCUUGGGAUUGUUCUGGGGCAAUGGGAUGAGAAGCAGGAGUCAGAUCCGAGAAGGGCUUGCCCUCGCGCCCCAAGCCACUGCCCCUUGCUACCCACGGCAAGCAGGGGCUGGGCAAGGGAAGGGGUGUACUGGCUGUACUGGGUCUCCACCUCGUGUUCAAGGAGAAGAAUUGCACCGAGAGGCCUGAGAGAAGGGGGAGAAAGUGGGAGGGGCGGGGGGGGGGGCGGCACAGCACUGCGCCCCAGGUUGACGCAGGCGUUGUCCAAGGAAUCAGAACAGCAGACCUUGCACGUGAGCCCAAUGCAGAGUUUUGCCAAGGGGGGAGGCAGGAAGAAGUUUCAGUUUCAGCCUUGCGGGUGGGCGUCUUUCUGUACCCAAAGACGUGCUUUGUGCCCUCGAUGCUGAGGGCAGCCACCCAGGGCUGGGGAACGAACGGCUGCACGGCCCCUGAACCCUGACCAGCAGGGAAACUGGGAGAACAGAAUGCCGUCACUGCUGAUCUGUACCAGUUUGACUCUGCUUUAAGACUCACUGCAAGCUUUCAGAAUAAGGGUCCCCUCAGAAGAAGACAGACAAGGAGCAGGGUUGAAAAGGAACAGGGUUGGUUUUAAUUGGUGGUUGUUGCUGUUGGUUGUAAAAUAGACAAUCAGUCUAUGGUGUUACACUGUCAAUGAUGUCAGACAGUUCCAGAAGGAGCUCGUCCACAUCCUUCUCAGCGUCCACCUCAAUUUCUCCUUCCA